rnacentral:rRNA from 1 species
UACGGAGGGUGCGAGCGUUGUCCGGAAUCACUGGGCGUAAAGGGCGCGUAGGCGGCAGGCCAAGCGUGCGGUGAAAGUCCGGGGCUCAACCCCGGAUCUGCCGUGCGGACUGGUUUGCUAGAGCACUGUAGAGGCGAGUGGAAUUCCGGGUGUAGCGGCGGAAUGCGUAGAGAUCCGGAAGAACACCGGUGGCGAAGGCGGCUCGCUGGGCAGUGGCUGACGCUGAGGCGCGACAGCGUGGGGAGCAAACAGG